GUGGUUUUGGUUCUGCUGCCGCUACUGCUGCCGUUUCCUCCCCCUGAGCUUCUUCCAGCCAUAGAGGCAAACCAUGGCGGCCACUGAGAUAGCAAGGCAGGCGGGUGAGGGUGCACGUGCCGUCCCACUCUCUGGCCAUGUCGGCUUCGACAGCAUGCCGGACCAGCUGGUCAACAAGUCUGUUAACCAUGGCUUCUGCUUCAACAUCCUCUGCGUUGGAGAGACGGGGUUGGGGAAGUCCACUCUUAUGGACACUCUGUUCAACACCAAGUUCGAGGGAGAUCCGACGCAGCACAACCAGCCAGGAGUGCAGCUGAAGUCCAACACGUACGAGCUGCAGGAGAGCAACGUCCGCCUCAAGCUCACCAUCGUUAACAGCGUCGGCUUCGGAGAUCAGAUCAACAAAGAGGACAGUUACAAACCUAUUGUGGAGUUCAUCGACACUCAGUUUGAGGCCUACCUUCAGGAGGAGCUCAAAAUCAAACGCACCCUCCACAGCUAUCACGACACCCGCGUCCAUGCCUGCCUGUACUUCAUCUCCCCCACUGGACACUCCCUAAAGUCUCUGGACCUGGUAACCAUGAAGAAACUGGACAGCAAGGUAAACAUCAUCCCAAUCAUAGCAAAGUCUGAUGCCAUCUCAAAGAGUGAACUGGCCAAGUUCAAGAUCAAGAUCACCAGUGAGCUGGUCAGCAAUGGAGUCCAGAUCUACCAGUUCCCCACUGAUGAUGAGACCGUGGCUGAGAUUAACUCCACCAUGAACGGCCAUUUGCCGUUCGCAGUGGUGGGAAGCACUGAGGAAGUGAAGAUCGGGAACAAGAUGGUGAAAGCGCGGCAGUACCCGUGGGGAACUGUUCAGGUUGAGAAUGAGAACCACUGUGAUUUUGUGAAGCUGAGAGAGAUGCUGAUCCGGGUGAACAUGGAGGAUCUUAGGGAGCAAACCCACACGCGCCACUAUGAGCUCUACCGCCGCUGCAAACUGGAGGAGAUGGGCUUUAAAGACACGGACCCCGACAGCAAGCCUUUCAGUCUGCAGGAGACGUAUGAGGCCAAGAGGAACGAGUUCAUGGGAGAACUGCAGAAGAAGGAGGAGGAGAUGAGGCAGAUGUUCGUCCAAAGAGUGAAGGAGAAGGAGGCCGAGCUUAAGGAGGCGGAAAAGGAGCUGCAUGAAAAGUUCGACCGCCUGAAGAAGCUCCACCAGGACGAGAAGAAAAAGCUGGAGGACAAGAAGAAGUCUCUGGAUGAUGAACUGAACAUCUUCAAGCAGAAGAAGACCGCGGCUGAGCUCCUGCAGUCCCAGGCCCAGCAGGCAGGGGGUUCCACCACACUCAAGAGGGACAAAGAAAGGAAAAACUGAUUUGGCCUCCUCACCAGACCAUGAUACAGAAGGAAGACACUUGCACUGAGAAGUUAACUCUUCGUCUGCUUGCUGCAUGCUGCAUGAGACACCUUAUGCUGCUUCUUUUAAAUCUGUCUUGGCCGUCUGUCUGAAGAGGGGACCGCAGAUUCCACGACAACUAAAGCACCUAUUUUCCUCUCCCUGUCUCUCACUCUGCCAGACUUUUUAUUUUCAUUUUUUUAAUCAUUAUUUUACGUUUCAAAAAACCUCCAUGCUGUCUGCUCAGUCAAACAGGGCCUUAUGUGGGCUUCACAUGGCGUUUUACGCAAUAAGCAUUAACUCUCUUUCCUAAUUACGGCAUGCCAAGCUACUAUGCCAAGUCCCACACUAAUAUUUUUUACUGAUUUUGUGAAAGACCCCGGAACCAAAGUUCUGGGAGAGAAAAGGAUGAGCAUGAAAGAGACCUAAAAAGACUUUUUAAUUCUUUAAUUCUUGUGAAAACAACAUUGUUUUUUAUACAUGGUGACAUAUGUACGAUAUAUACGUAUGCUACAUUGUAAUGCAUAUUUAGUUUAAUUUAGGCCCCAGACUUUUGCAUGCAUUCACACAAGAAUCUGAUUCUUAAUUUCUCAUUUUUAUUUCUUGUGCGGAUGCAUGUGACGUGUCCUCACAAAAUAUAAACAGCUAAAAAAUAGAGCAGCUGUGCAGAUGAUGAACAGUUACAGUCGUUUGCAAAGGUUUGUGCACCCUUGGUCAAAUUACAUGUCUUGUGAUGUGUUACAAUUUGUAAAAGUGAAAGUAAUAAUUAAAUAUAUUUUGCAUACUGGAAAAAACACAGUAUUUGGCCUAUAUACGUAUAUAUAUUGCAUAUGUUAUGUAUUAUUUUAUAAUGUUUUCCAAAAGUGAUUAAUACAUUGGUAAGUUUCACUUUUCACUUUUUCACUCAUGUAAUUUGAAUAAGGUCCUCUCUUUUGCAUACGACUGUACAAAACAAGAGUACUAAUUACUAAAAACACUGUUGUUUAGGCCUGUCACAAUAAUUGCAUUAUUUAAUUAUCGUACAAUAUACUGUUUAGACGUGAUUUCAAUAUUUUUUAAGCUCAAUAUUUUACCCAUGAAAAGAGAUCCCUGUAUUAAAAUUGCAUAUUAUGUAUGUUGUUGAUGGUUGAUAAGAUAGAAAUGGUGGGUCUAUUUUAUGUAUGAUUUAUUUAUAUAGGCUACAGAAACAUUUUUAAUAUUCUAAUUGCUUGUGUUUAAGUAUAUAUUAUUGUUCAUUUAUUACUCAAUCUUAAUGCUCUUUAAAAAGGUGGGCAAUUUGCAUUAUUAUGCCAUGUAUUUAUCAUUAUAUCAUCAGCAAAAUCUGUCAUAAAUAAAUAAAUCUUGACAAUAAUAUUGACUAUUUUUAAUAAUAUAUUGUCCAUAAAUUAGUGGUUAUUGUGACAGGCCUAUUAUUGGUUAGUCUCUGAGAUUUACAGUAUAUUAAGCCCAAGUUUUGGAUUAAAUGGCUGUGCAGCAGUGAUAAAAAUACAUUUUAAUCCAGGUUUAUUGUCUGGCUGCAGAAUUUGAGGACAGGCAGCUUCUAUUUUCUACUAGUUAAAAAUGUCGACGCUCUGGCUGUGAGAAAUAAAGACGACCCAAAGAAAUCUUCUGUUGGUUGAUACACAGUACAUCUUUAUCUUCAGUUUAAUGGGUUCUUUAUCCUGAAACAAUGUGAUUAAACCUGAUUAAAAAGUUCGUUUGUAAUGUACAGUUAUUUAAGCCUGGCCUAAUUAAAGGCUGACGAGUCCUAACAGUAUUGAUACUGUGUCCUAUAAAGGCCAUCUACAUCAUAUUCCCCCCUAUCCCCCCGUUUUAUUUAAAUCUAUUAUUUCUGCCUAAUUGCUGGAUCUGCCCUUUGCAUGUUAUUUUUUCAUGUUUGUUUUAUAUAAAUUUAUUUGGAAGCCUUUUUGAAGUGUUAAAAUGCAUUCUAUAUCGGCUUGUUUUUUUCUUGUGUAUUUAUUUCAGGUACAUGUGCAGGUCUAUCUGCUUGAUGAAUUUCAACAAAUUUUGCCAAACAUGACGCAAAGUCUUUUGGCAGUUUUGUUCUAAAUGCGUCAAUUGGCAGAUACAGAUAUUCAUCCAUAUAUAUAAAUAUAAUUUAUAAGGAUCUAUUUUGUGUAUUGAAGUAGAGAUGUGUCUUAAUGAAAAAUAAUAUUGUUGGGACGUGACUGUUUUCUCUGUGUACGACAUCAAAACUGUAAGAUCCAUUUUUCUAGUAUCUUCCAUACUUGCCUUUCAUUGUCCGCUCCCCCAGCCCCAGUCAUAACACAAAUGUUAUGAAAUAUUUAAUUGUAGUAAAAUUUCAUUGGUGUACAUUUUCAAUAAAACUACAGUGAAACAG